UACGUAGGGUGCGAGCGUUAAUCGGAAUUACUGGGCGUAAAGCGUGCGCAGGCGGUUCGUUAAGUCAGAUGUGAAAGCCCCGGGCUCAACCUGGGAACUGCAUUUGAAACUGGCGGGCUUGAGUGUGGCAGAGGGGGGUGGAAUUCCGCGUGUAGCAGUGAAAUGCGUAGAGAUGCGGAGGAACACCGAUGGCGAAGGCGGAUCUCUGGGCCUUACCUGACGCUGAGGAGCGAAAGCAUGGGGAGCAAACAGG
rnacentral:rRNA from 1 species